AUUGAACGCUGGCGGCAUGCCUAACACAUGCAAGUCGAGCUGAUGAAGGGUGCUUGCUCCUGGAUGCAGCGUCGGACGUGUGGGUAAUGCCUAGGAAUCUGCCUCGUAGUUGGGGAUAACGUCCUAAAACGGGCGCUAAUACCGCAUACGUCCUGAGGGAGUAUGAGGGGGAUCUUCGGACCUCACGCUAUCAGAUGAGCCUAGGUCGGAUUAGCUAGUUGGUGGGGUAAAGGCCUACCAAGGCGACGAUCCGUAACUGGUAUGAGAGGAUGAUCAGUCACACUGGAACUGAGAAACGGUCCAGACUCCUACGGGAGGCAGCAGUGGGGAAUAUUGGGGCAUGGGCGGAAGCCUGAUCCAGCCAUGCCGCGUGUGUGAAGAAGGUCUUCGGAUUGUAAAGCACUUUAAGUUGGGAGGAAGGGCAGUAAGUUAAUACCUUGCUGUUUUGACGGUACCAACAUAAUAAGCACCGGCUAACUUCGUG
rnacentral:rRNA from 1 species